rnacentral:rRNA from 1 species
CCUACGGGGUGCUGCAGUGGGGAAUAUUGGACAAUGGGCGAAAGCCUGAUCCAGCCAUGCCGCGUGUGUGAAGAAGGCCUUCGGGUUGUAAAGCACUUUCAGUGGGGAAGAAAGCCUUGGGGCUAAUACCCUCGAGGAAGGACAUCACCCACAGAAGAAGCACCGGCUAACUCCGUGCCAGCAGCCGCGGUAAUACGGAGGGUGCGAGCGUUAAUCGGAAUUACUGGGCGUAAAGCGCGCGUAGGCGGUCUGAUAAGCCGGUUGUGAAAGCCCCGGGCUCAACCUGGGAACGGCAUCCGGAACUGUCAGGCUUGAGUGCAGUAGAGGAAGGUAGAAUUACCGGUGUAGCGGUGAAAUGCGUAGAUAUCGGGAGGAAUACCAGUGGCGAAGGCGGCCUUCUGGACUGACACUGACGCUGAGGUGCGAAAGCGUGGGUAGCAAACAGGAUUAGAUACCCUGGUAGUC